AAGGUUCGCAGGCUAAGAUCACGACCUCCUGUCGUAACGCCUGCACUUGCACGUCCUGUG
rnacentral:sRNA from 1 species